GGGAACGUAGCUCAGUGGCAGAGCACUUGCUUUGUAAGCUGGAGGGCCUGACAUCAAUUGCCAGUGCCG
rnacentral:tRNA from 1 species